rnacentral:ncRNA from 1 species
AGAUGGGUGAAGAACAGGAUUAGUAUAUAUCGGAGAACGGCACAGAGAAGAAGCAGUCAGGUGAGAGGCUUCUGCGGAAAGGGUAUAGAACCGGCCUGGGAGCUUUCGCAUGAAAAUGCGGCGUAGAACCGGCGUUAACGGUGUAAGAGAGAAUCACAGAGAUACUGUGGUUAAUCAGGGUGGUACCGCCGAGUCUUUCGGUCCCUUAU